UGUGUGAGGAAGUCAGGUGCUAGUCAUGAGACUUAACUGCAGUCCCUGGCUCCAUCUUGGGACUGCUGCCGCACCUGCUCCCCACAUCCUUUGUGACUGUAUAGCUCAGAAUGGCUCACCAUGAUAUAGCUAUGGAAGAGUUGCUAAGUGCCAAAGACUGCAGUUUCUGGCCUGAGAGGAUCACAGAAUGCAGUGAGACCUCCAAGGAAGGAGAUGCCAAGUAGUGCUUCAAAGCUUCGGACCACAAUCAAACACAGCAUCCUUUUCAACAGAAGCAGAAGCUCAUCUGAAUAUGCUCAUGGAUGCUGACAUCAACAUUUAAUCAUCUCCUCACUCAUCCAGGAAGAGGGAGAGAUCAGUUACUACUGUACUUUAUUGUGUUCAACCAAAUCACCAUGUUACAAAAAUAGCAAGCUGCCACAAUAAAAAAUAAGGCUCCUCUAUCCAGAACCAGAUAGCAUCAUUUUACUUUCAAGCCUAGAAAUUGCACACUUGUAUAUAAACCAAUCGAAGAUGAGGAUUGAGAGUUCAUCUUGGUGGAUUUUUCCUUUGAUGAAUAUGAAGUGUCCUUCCUUAUCUUUUUUGAUGACUUUUAAUUGAAAAUUGAUUUUAUUUGAUAUUAGAAUGGCUACUCCAGCUUGCUUCUUCUGACCAUUUGCUUGGAAAGUUGUUUUCCAGCCUUUCACUCUGAGGUAGUGUCUGUCUUUGUCUCUGAGGUGUGUUUCCUGUCUGCAGCAGAAUGCAGGGUCCUCAUUGCGUAUCCAGUUUGUUAAUCUAUGUCUUUUUAUUGGGGAGUUGAGGCCAUUGAUGUUGAGAGAUAUUAAGGAAUAGUGAUUAUUGCUUCCUGUUAUAUUGAUAUUUGGAUGUGAGGUUAUGUUUGUGUGCUUUCAUUCUCUUUGUUUUGUUGCCAAGACGAUUAGUUUCUUGCUUCUUCUAGGUUAUAGCUUGCCUCCUUAUGUUGGGCUUUACCCUUUAUUAUCCUUUGUAGUGCUGGAUUUGUAGAAAGAUAUUGUGCAAAUUUGGUUUUGUCAUGGAAUAUCUUGGUUUCUCCAUCUAUGUUAAUUGAGAGUUUUGCUGGAUACAGUAACCUGGGCUGGCAUUUGUGUUCUCUGAGGGUCUGUAUGACAUCUGUCCAGGAUCUUCUGGCCUUCAUAGUUUCUGGCGAAAAGUCUGGUGUGAUUUUGAUAGGUCUGCCUUUAUAUGUUACUUGACCUUUUUCCCUUACUGCUUUUGAUAUUCUUUCUUUAUUUUGUGCAUUGGGUGUUUUGACAAUUAUG